rnacentral:rRNA from 1 species
CUGCCGAGAAGUGGGGGAUAGCUCGCCGAAAGGCGAAUUAAUACCGCAUAUGAUCAGAGGCGACAUCGCUUCGAAAUCAAAGGUGGCGCAAGCUACCGCUUUUUGAGGAGCCCGCGGCCUAUCAGCUAGUUGGUGAGGUAACGGCUCACCAAGGCUUUGACGGGUAGCUGGUCUGAGAGGACGACCAGUCACACUGGAACUUAGACACGGUCCAG